CAGCCGCCGCGGUAAUACGUAGGGGGCGAGCGUUGUCCGGAAUUAUUGGGCGUAAAGCGCGCGCAGGCGGUCCCUUAAGUCUGAUGUGAAAGCCCACGGCUCAACCGUGGAGGGUCAUUGGAAACUGGGGGACUUGAGUGCAGAAGAGGAGAGCGGAAUUCCACGUGUAGCGGUGAAAUGCGUAGAGAUGUGGAGGAACACCAGUGGCGAAGGCGGCUCUCUGGUCUGUAACUGACGCUGAGGCGCGAAAGCGUGGGGAGCAAACAGGAUUAGAUACCCUGGUAGUCCACGCCGUAAACGAUGAGUGCUAAGUGGUAGAGGGGUUAAACCCUUUAGUGCUGUAGCUAACGCGUUAAGCACUCCGCCUGGGGAGUACGGCCGCAAGGCUGAAACUUAAAGGAAUUGGCGGG
rnacentral:rRNA from 1 species